AUUGAACGCUGGCGGCAUGCCUUACACAUGCCAGUCGAACGGCAGCACGGGUGCUUGCACCUGGUGGCGAGUGGCGAACGGGUGAGUAAUACAUCGGAACAUGUCCUGUAGUGGGGGAUAGCCCGGCGAAAGCCGGAUUAAUACCGCAUACGAUCUACGGAUGAAAGCGGGGGACCUUCGGGCCUCGCGCUAUAGGGUUGGCCGAUGGCUGAUUAGCUAGUUGGUGGGGUAAAGGCCUACCAAGGCGACGAUCAGUAGCUGGCCUGGGAGGGUGACCGGCCGCACUGGGACUGAGAUACGGGCAAGACUGCUACAGGAGGCAGCAGUGGGGAAUAGUGCACAAUGGGCGGAAGCGUGAUGCAGCAACGACGCGUGCGGGAUGACGGCCUUCGGGUGGUAAACCGCUUUCGCCUGUGACGAAGCGUGCGUGACGGUAAUGGGUAAAGAAGCACCGGCUAACUACGUG
rnacentral:rRNA from 1 species